ACAGGGUCUGGCUCUGUCACCCAGGCUGGAGUGCAGUGGCAAGUUCAUGGCUCACUGCAACCUCCACCUUCAGAGGUCAAGCCAUCCUCCCACCUCAGCUUCCUGAGUAACUGGGACUACAGUUUAGGUGAAAAAUGAGAAGAUUAAAUAAGCCAUGGGAAGAUUUUUAAAAAUGACAUGAAACUCCACGGGUAAAAAGUAGACAUUUCCACCCUUCCCUGCUUCAUCCAUACCUCCAAAAACAGAACCCUUCAAAGAACGUCCUGAGAAGAACAACUGGCCACUGAUUUUGAGUUGAACACCAGCAGGCAACACCCCAACAACCACACAGACCCCAUAGCUCUCAUUGCAGGAGGCGAGGGCAGCUGCCUGUUAGAAAGUGAUGCAAUACAGUAUAGGAGUUAAAAGAUGUAUGUGAGGAUUAAGCCUACGUCUUAAUUUCAGCUUAACUUCUAAAUGGUCUAUGACUUUCUUUUCUGAUUCUCCCUAUUCUCAUUUGAAGUAACGUUUAUCUUGUAAGGAUGCUAUGAAACACAUAUAAGACGUUGUAUGUUGCCUAGCAUAGUACCUGGCACUUUAGGACUCAAGAAAUGGAAAUAACAAAAAUGAAUAUAGUAAAAACAUCCACAGUAGUGAUAAUAAUAAAAAUAAUUUUCAUAAAAAUUGUUACUGAUGCAGGUGGCUGGUAAGAAUUGACAUUUUUCUUUUAGACAUCUAAGAAGACAGAUAUUUAUAUAAUAAGAUGAUAGCAAAGUGAGAAACAGAUACCGUUACAUUCGUUAUGUUCAAAGGCUAUUUCUCAGAGUAAGAGUGUGAGAAAGGUUUUGCUGUAUCUUCUUACAGAUAAAGGAAUUUAUGUAUGGUGAAUCAUGAAAAGAUAUUUUAUGCUGGGAAAAGGGCCCAAGUUGGAAGAGGCAGUUGUUGAGUUUCCAUACAGCUGACUAGAAGAUAGAGCCAUGCAACCUAAUAAUACACUAUUUCUUCAAAUCCCCAAAGAAAACAAGCCUCAGAUUUUGAAGUAACUUCCCCUCACUUUCUAUUCUUUUAUAUAAACCAUGUUUAGCUGGAAAAAUCAUCACUUUUUUUCCCUUUCAUUUUUGAAAUGAACCUGUUUAAUCAUGACUAGUAAGUAUUUUUCUUGGAAACAUCUCAGAUCCGACAUG